UACGUAGGGACCGAGCGUUGUCCGGAUUCAUUGGGCGUAAAGAGCUCGUAGGCGGCCACUCAAGUCGAAUGUGAAACCUCGAGGCUUAACCUCGAGCCUGCAUUCGAUACUGGGCGGCUAGAGUCUGGUAGGGGGAUCUGGAAUUCCUGGUGUAGCGGUGGAAUGCGCAGAUAUCAGGAGGAACACCGGUGGCGAAGGCGGUUCUCUGGGCCUGUACUGACGCUGAGGAACGAAAGCGUGGGGAGCGAACAGG
rnacentral:rRNA from 1 species